AUCAUGGCCUAAAAGGUUCAUUUUCAUCAAAAUGCUAGUAUGAAAAUGAUCUUUCUUUAAAGAAUCACGAAAGUGAUCCAAAUAAAGGAUCAAACAAAGUGACCCUUUAAAAGGUUCAUCAAAUCGAUCAUUUUAAAAAGAUCCCUGUUCCUCGAGAAUAAUUAACAAAAUUAAAGAAGAUAAAUAGUCAAAAAUGCGCGUAAAGUAUUUACUCCGAUGAUAAAAUAAUGUUUCAAAUUGAAAAAAUAAAUAUUUUAAAUUAUUUACAUAAUAUAUUUGCGAAAAAAUUUCAAAGCGAACGAAGCGAACCUUUUGAAAGGAUCACUAAAAUUUGCCAGUGCGCAUGCGCACAAUCGACGCUGUCGAAAAAGAUCACGCCACCUUUCACUCGGCCAGUGCCGAGUGUGACGCGAGCGAGAGAGGAAAGGUCAAGUGACGUGUCAAGUCGUGUUUUUUGUCAGUGCGUUUUAAGUCUUUAAUCUCUCUUAAGAUAUUCAUCUAAAGAUUCUUCCGGACAUCUCUGAAAGUGUGUGGUGUGAUUGUGUUUUCGGAGACACUGAUUGUUGGACGUUUUGGAGACAAAAAAAAAGGUAUCCUGUCCGUCACUGUGGAGUGGGAAAUACUGGAAAACCCAGAAGUCUGAUUUGUAUCUUCACAGAAUUCUCCCAUCAAACCACCUAAUUCUCACCAUCCCAUCAGUCUUCAACAGAAGAAUCUCAGGAUGUGCAUCAAAAUUUGCCCAUCCUUCAGAGCAAGUUCUGACCGUCCAUACAAGAAAUUUAACAUGGUUGAAAUAUAAGUUAUGACAUUUUUCUUAAAUAUUUUAAAACAAAGUGAUCGACAGAAUCAGAAAGAAUUUUAUUCGCCCAUUAAUACCAUUUAGACUUAUUUAUUUCUCUGAUCUUCUACUAUUUGUAAACCAUGUCAUCUUAAAUUACGCAGGAUUAUAGAAAAAACGUUAAAAAGGAGUUAUUUUACGAUCCAAUUGGCAAGGAUGGUUUGUUGCAUGGACGGAUCAAAAGGUUGCAAAAGAAAAAUCGGGAACUCACCGGAACGGGAAAAUACAAAAAACGUAAGAAUACUCAUGAUCAAAUAACCCACGAGGAAAGUACCCAAAUCCAAACGACCGCUGCUGCUGUGGUAGAUGAAGAUGCUCAGAGAAGAGAGGACGAAAACAUUGUUUUUCUCAAAAAUGCUUCCGUAACACACCAAAAAGGUGAAAUCAUCCGACGAUUUAAGGAAAACCAGAAUCACAGGAAGCGCCACUAUCAGACAAUUUUGGUUGAUUAUAGGGAGGUGUUAAAGUUAAUGCCAGAGCUGCUACUCUUUGAUUUUGAGUCACAAUAUGGUCCAAAAAAUGUUCGUGUUAAACUGACGUCACUUCUUCAGAAAAUUGAUGAGGAAUAUCCUUUGUUAUCUGAUGCCAGGCAAAAAAGGAACAACGAAAUCAUUGAUGAGUGGACGACAUCGAUCCAAGGAUUUUUGAAAGUCCUUUCGUUUUUUCCACCUGUGAACACUGAUGCGAACAAGCAAAAAGCAACUAUUAAGGACUCCUUGUCGUCUUUUAUAAUAUUCUUUCCACUGGGCACUCCACCUUCGGAAAUAAUGGACGAUAUUAAUAAAAGAGGUGAAGGAAUACAAUUCUUCGCGGAUGGUUCCAACAAGAAGGCCCUUUCAAACUUCUACUUGAAAGUGGACAACCUCAUCUUGAAAAUCAAAGCUACAGAUUUUAUUGAUGCAUUUGAUUUCAUUUUUAAAGUUCGUUUCGCUCUCAACAUUGAUUUUAAAAAAUGUCACUCCAAUUUCUAUAAGUUUAUUCAGCAUUACAUUUAUGGAAUUUCUCUCCAAAAGAUACCAGUUUCUUUAAAAUCUGUAGCAGCCCGUUGUAAUCUAAACUGAAAAAAUCAAUUGAUAAUUCAAUAAUGUAACUAGUGUAACUAAACAUCGUAACCCUCUAAGUUCGAUUAAGUCACCCAAAAUUUCUUGUUCUUAACCCUAUAAGAACGAGACAUUUUUUACGGACUGAAAAUCGUAAAUAGAAAUGAAAUCGGUAAACGUCUUGCCUCUAAUCUUGGAAAGUCCAACACAGCCUUACUUGUUGUAUUUUUCACCUCUAUGAACGAUAGGGACAAAAAUAGUGAAAAAAAUUAAGUAAUUUUUCUGACGAUACCAAUAAUUGAUUAAUUGUCGCUCUAAUGAAAAAUAUUAUGUUUGAAUUUUGUAGUUUUCCCAAAAUGGUUUUGCUUAAAAAUAAUUGGAAGUAUAAAUAAUAAUUAAAAUCAAUUUUCAAUAUGAGAAUUUACUAAUCGUCAUUUUUGAGCUUAAUUAUUUAUUAUAUAGUAUAUAGCUAAAGCUUUUACUUUACAAUUAUGUAAAAAGAUAAAAAAAAUAACUCUAGGUAGUCAGGAAAAAUUAUUUUUUUAUAGGACACCGGUGUUCCAAUCGAACUUAAAGGGUUAAAAGAUUAAUUCGACUGAGCAAUGUAUGAAAUUAAAAAAGAAUUGUCUUUGUAAUAAAGUAUAAUUUAAAUAGGC